CCAUAAGCCCGAACCAUCGCUCCGAUAAAAUCGGAGAGGAAAGUCCGGACAGCAAAGGGCAACCCACCGGUGAAUAGCCGGCUCCCCACAGCAGUGUGGGGGCGAGAAAGUGCCACAGAAAAUAACCGUCCCCACAGCACUGUGGGGAUAAGGGUGAAAAUGUGAGGUAAGAGCUCACGGUUUUUACUGGUAACAGUAAGAGCGGGUAAACCUUGGGUGCUGUAAUGCCAUGUAUAGGAAUCAUUGAGGGCGGCUCGUCCGAUUCCAACAGCAGUGUUGGGAGGGUUCCAGGGUAGGCAGCAAGAUCGCAACAGUAAUGUUGGGGCCAGAUAAAUGAUGGUAUAGGAACAGAAUCCGGCUUAUGAGGCUUAUGGUUAU
rnacentral:RNase_P_RNA from 1 species